ACACUCUUGUUCCUUUUCAGAUCGUAUAAAUCUUUCGCCUUUUACUAAAGAUUUCCGUCGGGAGGAACAGCAAGAGUUUGAGUCAAUGCUAAGCAGACCUUUCUAUACUGUAA